GCAAAACUCAAAAACUUAGUCUCAGUUCGGAUGUAGGCUGAAACUCGCCUACAUGAAGCUGGAGUUGCUAGUAAUCGCGAAUCAGCAUGUCGCGGUGAAUACGUUCCCGGGCCUUGUACACACCGCCCGUCACACCAUGAGAGUUGGCAAUACCCAACGUACGUGAUCUAACCCGCAAGGGAGGAAGCGUCCUAAGGUAGGGUCAGCGAUUGGGGUGAAGUCGUAACAAGGUAUC
rnacentral:rRNA from 1 species